rnacentral:lncRNA from 1 species
GGGUCCAGGGCAGGAGCCGCAGAGGGGCAGACCCCCAAGGUGAUCAAAGCACUCGAUUGUGGCAAGGGAGGGCAUGUGGUCCCUUCUGUGCCCCAUAGGUGGGAUCAGUAGUGACCAACCUGGGGCCCACACUUGUUCUCUGCAGGCUUGCUAGCAAAUGGCUUGUGCUGUGUCCUCCCCUCAGUGUCAUCCUUUUAACAGGAAUCACAGAAUUGAAGCUUUCAAGGGUCUCCAGGUAGCAGGUGGUGGAGGCUCCACUAAGGCUCUGGGAGGUGUACUGGAGUUGAAGUGAGAGGCAUCACCCUGGGAGGGCCUCUCUCAUCCUUGCUCCUCCCCUGUCCAGUGAGGGACUAGAUCAGCACUUCCCUCAAAGUCUGCUGCCUGGACCAUCAAUUUCAAAUGACCAAGGUCCAUGCCUAACAACACAGAACUGCGUGACCACACACAGACAAAAACACCUCCAGCACCUCACCUUGUCACCUUUGGAAAGACUGGGCCCUGAGUAUCAGAGUCUGAUCAGAACACCACCUCUACCACCUUCAUUUCUUUAGCCUAAGGCUCCGGCCCUCAUUGAAAUAAAAUCUCAUGCAGUAAAUUGUUAUCAGUCGUUUAUACCCCCGGGAGCCUGAGCUUCAAAUACUUUGCUGAGGACAGAUGUGAGCCCAGAGAAAAACCAGGAGGGUAGGGUGGGGAGAUGGGCAGGAGAGGGGAAGGUGUAUGGGAGAGGGUCCAGGGACCUAGGAAUUUCUGAGAUAAACAUUGUCUCAUUCACAAUUUCAACUAUGGCUGGUGCCGAAUAAGAACGAAUCUUCCCAAACAGGCACAUAACUGGUGGUUCUCGCCCAUCCUACUUCAGGAGUUUGUUCCUGACCUUGCUACUUGUUUGAAGCUCAGCACAUCCUGACCAAAGCCUUAGACCCUGCUUCCAACAGAAUUUGAACUGGAAACUAGUGUUUGCCCAAGGCUUUCCUGCUCAAAAAUAGUAUUUGUGGAA